AUCACCAAAGAGAAGGCGCCCUGGAGCGACAUUUUGCUCUCCAGGAACCAGGAUUUCAUUCUUUUCCGAGCUCAAGUUUAGCCCCAGAUUUCCAACAGACAGCUUGGGGUUUUGGGCAUCAGGUUUGGAAAUACGUGAGCUCCACCUCUGUGCCAGCGGCAGAAGUGUGAAGCAAUUGUAGAGACUUGGGGCUUCCCAUCGCAGGGUGCCAGCUGGGCAAGUUCCACCCCCUUCUCCUGUAUGCAAACGAGCUGCAAAAAUACCUCUGGAGAAACUGCUUGCGGCAUUUAAUGCUCUAAUGGGGCAUUCCCCUCUUAGCUGAGUAAUCAUAACGGCACAGGCUUGCUGGCAUUAUGGUUUUACAUGGGCCGAGCCGACCGUGUCAGGGGUGCAGCAAGGGAAGAGAUGAACCAUGGGGAGGGAAGUAACUGGUAAAAGAUGGGGAAGGAAUUUGAGCAGGGGUAGCAAAGUCCUGUUGGUUCAGGAGGAAGCAGAUUAGCACAGCUGGGGCUGGGGGCAGUCCAGGGCUGAGAUAGCAGUGUGGCCGUGGCUCAGGGCUGGGAGAGCAAGGUGGCCUGCAGGUCACAACUGAGAUGUUUUGCCCCAUGUCCAGAACGUUUCCUUUGCAGGCAAAUGUUUUCAUCGUGGAGGGAAAGUUUCUAAUAAAUCCAACGAUUAACCCAAACUCUUACUACAUUUGAUAUUCAACUCCUAGAGCUUAAAGCCAGAUGGGACCAUUAGAUCCUAUAAUCUGACCUGUCCAACACAAGCCAUUGCAUUUCGUCUAGCUCCCGCUGAGCUGGGCCCAGGAGUUCUCUGUGGUUGUUUUCGUGGGACUAGUGGGAAGACACUCCAUUCUACUAACUACAUUUCCCUGGGAAAUAACUACCGCACUUGGCUUGUUACCAUUCCUGCCUGGGUUUCACACUGCGGAAAAUCUAGAGCGGCUGCUCUGGAAAGGCGAAAGUCCCUGAAGUGCGAAGGCUUAAGGAGCAAUUUUUCACAGUUUAGCACAAUGACAAAGCAGCAGGGAAUUUAUUCUUUACGUUCUGGUAGGCGAACAAUAGUUGCAUUGUACCGGUAGGCUGGCUUCCUAAUGGCUGCAGGGCCCGUGGCACAAAACACGACUUGUUUGCCCUUGCAGUGGGCGUCAGUCCUAGGACUGGAAGGGAGAGGUCACCUAGUCCAGUCCCCUGCACUCAUCAAAAGAAAGUGAAAGAUGCGUUAACAUACACGGGUGUUUGUGGAAAGCUGCACGCUGCGUGUCCAGUGAGCACGUACCAAUUCUAUGAGUGGAUCUUGGGGGUUUCAGGACACGGACGGACGUCUGUGACACUCCGUCAAGGAUUUUGAUCAGUGUGACUUGAUGCUUCCUGGCGUUUGCUUUGAGUUCGGGUGUGAAUACACCAAAAAUUGAGCCGAGACCAUAAAUUAGCCUCCCAUUUGAUCACAGCUGGGGGUAGAUUCACCCCAAAAGUCCAUGAACCUUUCAAGUAAUGCAGGCUGGAUUUUGUAAUCCAAGCGACUCACGUCCUGUCUCUUCCCCGUCAGUGAUGCUUCUCUGCGGUUUCUUUCGCUGCUGGUAAUAAGAGUCACGAGAGCUCGGAGACUGUAAAACCAAUGUUGUUGCUUUUGCAGGCAGGUCAAAGGCUGUCUGUUCUGCCCCCAUGAAACCACCGGCUUUGUUGCAUCUCACUUUCCCUGGUUAGAGGGGUUUCUCUCAUGGCCCGUUCCAAAGCUCAGACUCCACAGAAAUGUCUGUUGCCUCUAGUGAAACACUUCCUGUUGUCAGCCAGGAGGUGUUUGCCUUGGCCACCGGGAGGUUCUGCAUGGGUGCAAAUGGAAGGGGCGAGAUCUAUGAGCCGAGCUUUCGAUUCAAAUGUGACGCAGGUGUAAGAACCACUAGCUCCCUCGGAACAUUUGUGGGUUCAGGAAAGAUCUGCUGUGGAACUGGGAUGCUCAGCUCCGACACCCAAGUAAUCCUGUGACUGCCACUCGCGGAUUGAAGAUGGUGGGUGCUCUGGUGGUUAAAGCACUGGGCUGGGACUCAGGAGAUCUGGCUUCGCUGUCCGGUCUUGUCCUGGGCAGGUCACUUAGGCCCAGACUGGGGCCUAGAUACCUUUGACAGACUCCCACUGAGCAUCUGGCCUGUAACAUCUUCAUGCCUCAGUUUCCUUUCUGUGAAAAGAGAAUAAGCCUUCCUUUGCCAGUCGUGCCUAGCUUGCAAACUCUACUGGGAUCUUUCUUGCUACGUGUCUGUGCAGCGCCUGGCACUAUGGGCCUCUCACCGCUGUUGUGGCCUCUAGAGCAGUGGUUCUCAGCUGAGGUACGUGUACCCUUGGGGGUGAACAAAGGUCUUCCAGGGGGUACUCAACUUAUCUUGAUCAGUGUUUCUCAACCUGGUGGUUACGGGACAGGUUUGGGGGAUUGCAAGUGCAGGGCCGGCCAUAGGGGCUGGCAAGCAGGGCAGCUGCCCAGAGCCUCACACCACAGGGGUCUCUAUGAACCUAAGUUACAUGCUUCAGCCCUGGGCGGCAGGGCUCGGGCUUCAGACAAGGCUCACAAGUGGAAAAAACCGGCUGAAGUAUCACACUGAAAUGUAACUGCAAUAUAUUCCAAUCCAUUUAUUUUCUAAUGCUAUGGUAAAAAUGAGCAAGUCAGCCAUUUGUCAGCACUAGUAGGCUCUGACACUUUUUUGUAUUUUUAUGUCUGAUUGUGCAAGCAAGUGGCUUUUAAGUGAGGUGAAACUUGGGGUAUGCAAGACAAAUCAGACUCCUGCAAGGGGUACAGUCGUCUGGAAAGGUUGAGAGCUGCUGGCCGAGACAGAGCAGCUGCAGCACCGUUCUCCACAGGACUGAAGAGCAUUUUGCAGAGCUGGGCAGCUGUCAUUUCCACCUGGUUUACAGAUGAGAAAACUAGGGCAGGUGAUUUGGCCAAGAUCACAAAGUGACUCAGUGGCAGACCGUAUUCUCUCGCUGCUGCUUAUGAGUAAUGGGACAAUUUUCUGACCCCAGGCCUGUCCUCUGACCACUAGGUAACCAUGUGCACACUGAGAGUGCAAGUUACUAGCAUAAAAUUACCGACGGUACCGUCUACCCUCUCUGGCCCAAAUCAUGGGACAGAGCUGCUUUGAAUCGUGAACUGCGUUAGAGAUCUAAGUCACAGAAACGUUACGCCGUUCUAGAAUUACAUAAUGCAGUUAAACGCCCUGCACAUCUUAAUGCAGCAGGAAAAGCAACGAGGAGGCGGAUGGAGGCCCGAGACAGAGAGCAAAAUCUGUGCAGAAGCUUUGUGUGUGCGUAGGGGGGAGAUGGCAGGGAAGGGAGACAAGAAGACUGUUCUGGGUAACUGGAAGAAGCCGGAGAUCGAGAGAUACCAGAUACCAAGAGAGGGGUUAGGGCAAGAAGUAUCCCAGUUUUGUUGGCUGUUAGACGGUGGUAACCUUGUGCCACCCGCCUGGCAAACCUGAGUUGAGAGACUGGCUCUAAACGUGACGCUCCCGUGGGCUUAGACCAAAGCAGUCCCAAUGGCUGCCAGCGAGGUAGGGGGCACCUUCUCCCCACCCCAGCCCAUGUAAUAAAAGCCCUCGAGAGCCCAGGGGCUGAAACUGGCCACGUGUGGGUGGACUGGUGACUCACUGCUCCAUCUUCCUCCACAAUCCAGUCUUAAAUUCUGGGGCGCUUUGUUCUCCGUGGCACUGCUCCGGCAUGGGAAAGGGGCUUCCAAUUGAGCGUCAGUUAAUCUGUGCCCACUGUAACAAGGCCCUUUUUGCUGCUGAAUGGCCGUAAAGAGGCCUGCGUGUACAUGGGAACCGGGCCCUGUGCGGAUCUAAACCUGCAGUUCUCCCUUGAUAGAUCGCUCGGAAAUAGACCAGAGUCCACUGAGGAGUCUUCUGGGCUUUGGACCAACUCAGCGGAGAGAUGGGGAAUCUUAACGCAAGAGAGAUAAACAAACAAGCCCGAAUAUCAUUUCUUCCCUUCCCCUCAGUUGUUCCUAUUGUCCCUAGGAGACAGACAGAUGAGGGUGAUUUUAAUAGGGUCUAAUGUUGUCAUGGAGACGACUGCUCCGUUGCUAUUAACUGCGAUCAUGCCAGCUAUUACCCUGGUAAAAAGAGUGUGAAGAAAUUAAUGUAUCAGAGGCACCCAGGAAUUGGGGAGGCCGCUGCUGUUUUUGGUGGAAAGUCUAUUACAUUGUCUUGUAUUCAUGGAUCGAUGCCCGCCUGAGUGGCACGCACCCUGAUAGGCCAGGGCUAAGGUCCCGAAGGAGGUCUUUCAAAGGCGCUUUCCCCUCCGCCGCUUCGUCUGAGGGCCUGUUUGAAGGUCACAGGGAAAUAAAGCAGCGGCAGUGUUAGAUGUUGGUAGAAAACUGUUAAUGGGAAAGAAUCCAUCUUGGAGACAGUUCACACUUAAACAACAGAAACAGAAAGAAGAGGUGGUGGGGGCAGAUAAUUGGGAGUCAGGACACCUGGGUUCUAUUCCCAGCCCUGGAAGGGAAUUGGGGUCUAGGGGCUACAGCAGAGGAGGUGGGGACGGGUGUCAGGACUGCUGGGUUCUGUUCCAAGCUAUGGGAGAGGAGUGGCGGCCUAGUGGUUAGGGCAGAGGAAAUAGUAAUAAUGCCUAGCUCCGAUAUAGUGUUUUUCCUCAGUGGAUCUCAAAGCGCUUUACAAAGACGGUCAGUAGCAUUAUCCCCAUUUUACAGAUGGGGAAACUGAGGCACGGAGUGGGGACGUGACUUGCCUGAGGUCACUCAGCGGAUGGAGCAGCGAGUCACUCCGUGUCGCAAGUCCCAGCCCAAUGCUCUGCCCACUAAGCUACGCUGCGUUCCUUGUGGGGAGGCCCAGCUCUGCCACUGCCUGGGAGCAAGUCGCCUCCCCUCCGUUUCCUCACAUAUCCCAGCACUAACCCGGGGAUGAUGCAGACUUCCCGGGGCUGUUCUGAGGCUGAGUUUUCAGAUCCACGGAUGGAAGCACUGGGGAGAGGCACGUAUCCCCUCUCUAGUGUGCACGACCCUCUCUGGGCAGACUCCAUCUCCUAACAGAGGCCGGGAACCUACAGGACGUACUUUUUUGCAUACAGGAAUUAAAAAAACCUUCCCAUUUGUGCCCAUGCGCAGCCCUAGCAUGAGGCAUGAAAGUCUGCUCCCAGACCAAGCCAUUCCCGAUAAACUGGCGCUCGUUCCUCUUCCAUGAAUAACCAACUCAGAGCCAGAAGGAACCAUUGGGCUCAUCUAGUCCGACCUCCUGUGAACCACAAGCCAGAGAACUGCCCCAGGAUCAUUCCCAGAGCAGAGCUUUUAGACAAACAUCCAGCCUUGGUUUACAAAUCGCCAGGGAUGGAGAAUCCGCCAUCACACUUUGUGAAGUUUAAGCCUAACAGUUCAUUUCCAGAGGCCUCCGUUUGCCUCUCGUCCAAAGGGAAAAUUCCAAGUGGCUGCCAUGGAGCGAGACCUCGGGGCGCACUUGUCCCAGAAACGGAAUGGGGUGACCUAUGGCUUGGAUCCCAGAUGGCCAAAGCAAUGAGCGAGGAUAUUCGAACUUUGGUGAAGUCCCUGGGCCUGGACUAGGUCCUCAGCACCGUCACCCUCUGGAAGAGAGAAUGGGAGGGUAUCUGGGCAGUGAGCUGUUUAGCACAACACUCAAGUGCACUAGGGAACUCUGUUUGCACUAGCAGAGUCUACGUGCAGCCAUUGAUGUGUGCAGCACGUCAGUGCACUUUAGAAAUCUCACCUCUGUAGCGUGUGUUGCCGCUCCAUGUAGACAGAGUCUGUGUCGAAGGGUUGCUCUGCACACAGUUGUUGUACGGGUAUAACUAUCUUGGUUGGGGUGUGAUUUGAUUUUUUUUUUUUAACCUGCAAAAAUUCAGGUGAUUGAUUUGGCUGCUAAGCGGUCAGGAAAUGCAGCACUGUGUACACAAUGUGUACAAGUUUUUGGAGGGGGGGGGAGUUGGUUUGUGUCCUGUCUGUGUAUCAUCCAUGAAUGCUCGUGGUGUGCAACCGGGCAUUUCAUCAAACCCACGUAAAUAAAACUAAGGAAAGUGAAGGAAGCUUCUCCAUCCAGUGGAACCUGCAGGGGGGAUUCAGGGAGUUACAACAUUAGUGACCUUAGUUAAUGGUGGGUUAAUUCCUAGGCUCUUAUUUUUAAUGAUCACAAGAGGCCAGGGCCAGGGCAAUGGUGCUUCCCAGGCAUCUCCGACUCCUAGCAUCUUACCGGGGCUUUGGCGUUGUAUAUGGUGUCCUGCACCCCCGACGCUUUGUUCGUCUCGUCUGUUUAGCUUGGCAGCUCUUCAGGGCAGGGGCUGUCUCCUGCUCUGUACGGUGCCAAGCACAAUGGAGACCCCGCUCUUGGUUGGCCCUUGGGCAUACCAUAAUAAACAGAUUUAAUGCUUCCUCCGUACCGCCCCUGACACCGCUGAGCCCUGAGCGCUGCCCUGGGACAUUGACUCAGAAGAGGGCGCCAUGGAGAGCCCCCGUUUAAGUGCUGACGCCCCUGGACCCUGCUGAGUUUCUGAGCACUGUCCUGACUUGAGCGCAAGAUGGUAUGGCUUCAGGCCCCGGGGGCGGGAGCAAAGGCCUAUGUACUGCAGCUCUGGGAGGAUUUGGAGGGCUGAUAAGGUCUGAGACCCUGAGAGCGACUCCAUUAAGUUUAUCGAUUUGGUGCUGCUGGUGGAGUAUAUUUCACUGGCAGGGGGCAAAGCCGAGCGAGUCUUUUGUCCUUGCACCAAACUGCAAAUCUUUUCCCAGCAAACCCAUCAGCUCAGGGCAUUGUGCGCCUGCCAGAGAAAGUCAGCAGCGAGGGAACUUGCAGUCGCUGGGCUGUUUGCAAGCCUCACUCCAGCCAGCUGCGCCUGCUUCACGGCCCAUCGAUACUGUGGGGCUGAAUUCAACCCCCGAGCUUGACAAGUCUUGUAAUGAAGCGCCACGGAUGACCGAGAAGCUGCAGGGAGCACCCCAGCUGCAGCUGCUGGAGCGCAGCGUGGCUGAUGGGUUUUAUUGCCUCCCCCACUAAAACAAUGGUCAGUUUCUCUCUCUGGCGCCCAGAAUGUGCUGUUUGUGGUGACUCACGCCUGCAAAGGGCUUUAUACUCACAAGAGCAGCGCGGAGGAGUAGUUCCGCGGUUCAUGCAGAGCCGAUGAUGCAAUGAUUGUCUUUGUUCUGUGCAUGUACAGCGCCAGAUCCAAUAGGAUGCUGAUCCAUGACUCCUAGGUGCUAUGGUAAUACAGAUCAUUAAUAAUCAUUGGAUCGUACCAUCCAGCAUAUGUGCCCCAUCCCCUCUAGCAGGUUCCUGGAACAUGGCUUCUCUUCUCUUCCCUUCCCUUCCCCGGUGCCAUGCCAUGAUCUUUGCUCUAUUUGUAUUAUUGCUUAGGCAGUGCCACAUGCUUUUCCCCCUAUACAGCAGGCCUGGUGUUCUGUACCGGCAGCAGGUAGAUGUAAGGGAACCAUAACACCCCCGCCCCACUACAAUCAGCCUGUAGCUGUCGUUAUCCUGCUUGGGGGAAAAUAAGGCUAGUCGGUUCCUUUGCUAGAUUACUGGAUAUCCUAUCGAUAAUCUGAAUCCUUGGUUCCCCAGUUGGGGAAUUGUAAGGUACACUAAAGAGUGACUCCCAACGGAGGCCAGCUCCCACAUGCUGUCUCAGUCCAUGGGGAAGAUGCUCCCAGCUGCCACCAGUUGUAACAUGGAUUCUAACAAGCAUGGGCCAGCAAAUUUUGACGAUUGGCCCAUGGUCUAACCUUGCUCCCGGCCCCAGCAGCUCUAGGGUGCUGUGAUUGAAUCUACGGUCUCUCCCAUGAUUUGCUUUAGCCAGGCUGGGAUUCAGGAAACCCCAGUGUAGUGGCAUUUAGAGUGGGGCCACCCUGCACGCUUGGGUAAAAGUACACGCACUGGCUCUGACUGAGCUUGCGUGCUAAAAAUGCAGCGUACCUGGGUCAGCAAGGGCUAGCUACCCGUGUCCAGUCCUGUCCAAGAUCCUAGGUUCGUGCUUGGGCGGGUAGCCUGAGCCGCUGUGGCUGCACGGCUAUUUUCACCGCACCGGCUUGAUCGGAACUAGCGCCUAUAUGUCUAUGCAAGCCGGAAAUUACCCCUCCAAGCUGCAGGGUGGACGUACUCCACCCUGCAGCAAAGCCCAAGUUGAGUGAAUCUGGAAGCUGCGGCGUCAUGUCUGUGUCUGGCGUCCUAAAUGAAAGAAAUCCCUUUUAUCUUCAUUGCAACUGAGUAAUCCCUCUCUUCUACUGCAAAAGACCCUCUGUGGUCUCCUUGGACAACACAGUAAGCUCAGGGCUACUGUAAUGUCUCGCAGAGAAGACGUCUCCAAGUGGGCUCUUUCCCUGUUCUUUGUUUAAAACACUUGGUGGUGGCAGCAUAGGGUUCAAGGACAAGGCAAAGUUUGUACCUUGGGGAAGUUUUUAACCUAAGCUGGUAAGAGUAAGCUUAGGGCGUCUUUCAUGCAGGUCCCCAUUUCUGUACCCUAGAGUUCAGAGUGGGGAAGGAACCUUGACAUGGCUCUCAACCUUCCCAAAUGACUGUACCCCUUUCAGGGGUCUGAUUUGUCUUGCGUACCCCAAGUUACACCUCACUACUUGCUUACACAAUCAGACAUAAAAAUACAAGUGUCACGGCCCACUGUUGUUGAAAAAAAUGCUGACUUUCUCAUUUGUACCUUAUCAUUAUAAAAUAAAUCAACUGGACUAUAAAUAUUGUACUUACAUUUCAGUGGAUAGUCUAUAGAGCAGUAUAGACAAGUCAUUGUCUGGAUGAAAUGUUCGUUUGUACUGACUUGGCUAGUGCUUUUUAUGUCGCCUGUUAUAAAACUGGGCAAAUAUCUAGGUGAGUUGUUGGACCGCCUGGAGGACCCUUGCGUGCCCCCAGGGGUACGUGAACCCCUAGUUGAGAACCACUGUCAUAGAGGGUAGUAGAAGCUCUGAGGCCAGACCAUGGGAGGUGCUGUGCUCUAGUCCCAUUGGAGGUGAGAAUUACAUGCUGGGCCUAACUGCUUAAACAAAAAGGCCAUCUGUGUCGAUCUCUCUCCAUUUUUAGGACAGACUGGGGGUGGGGAAGUGGGGUGAAGUGCAAGGAGAUCAGGUUUAAAUAGAAACAGACAACUGACCUGCCCACUUCCUCAGGAAACGCACAUGGUAAGCUGACCCCUCUCCUCCCCGCCACCAUCACAUGGAAAUGGAAGACAGCCUCUGCCCAACCCUUUUAUAAACGUGUGGGUGGGGAGCCGGACGCGAUUAAUAACAUCAGCAGGAAAUGCUAAUUACAGCAGGAGCAGGAUCUUUGCCCAGAGAGUUAUAGGCCUUGGCCUUCAAUUUGCUCUUUGACUUAAUUAUUUCUCUCAGUCUCUUUCAAAAGUGUUAUGAGUCUUUUGAGAAAUCAGAGCGAAGAAUCAGAGUGAAACCUGCAAGCCAAGUCUCCCCCACCCCUGCCUUUCCCUGGCUGGCUGUUAACACGGAUACGAACGUUAAAUGCAUCCAAAGGAUUAUCAAAGCUGGACUGGCAGGUAGGAAUUCCUUGUCCCAGCUCGUUAGUUUGUGGCGAGAUCUCCGGCAAGUACCCUUUCUCUAUGCUUCAGUCUCUCCUUCUGUAAAGUGGGGAUAAUGGUACUUAACUACCUCGCAGGCUGUUGUGGGCAAGUUGUCAGGUGCUGUGAAGAGGCUUUAAUCCACAAAUAUCACAGUUUGCGUUUGGGAGUCAGACUGAAAAAACCGCGGUCAAAACGUAGGCAGAAAAGCAACAGGAAUGCUGUCAGCAGAACGAGCUUGUAACCAAUGUGGGUGCUUAAGGGAUUAUCUCACUGCGAGAUCUGGAUGUUUUAGUAAGCUACCCGCUUUGUCAUUUGGGCUACUCACAUGAAUCUUUUGUAUGUAAACAGAGAAAAUUGUUUGAUUUUUCUUUCUCUCCAAAUAGCUGCGACCCGUGAGCUGACUGUAAACAUCUGGACCCACAAUUCCUUCUUUUCCCACAAACUUUGCCCUAACACUUUCUGUUUCCUUUUCUUAAACUUGACUGGUCUACAUUAUCUUCUGCAAUGCUCCUGGGAAGCCAAGGGACAAUCCUUUCAUUUUUUCUAGCUUCUCUAUCUGCGGUGCCAUUAAACUCUUAUUACAAACCUGUUAGCAUUUCUUAUGAGCUGUAGCUCACGAAAGCUUAUGCUCCAAUAAAUUGGUUAGUCUCUAAGGUGCUACAGGUCCUCCUUUUCUUUCUACUUCAUCGUUAUUGGCAGUUUCUUUAAGCAUCAGCAAUCGCAGUAUAUGCCAGUACAAUAUGCAGCAAGCUCCAGUAGCUCUUACUGUAAAUACACCCGGAAUAUACUGUACUGCCUACACACAUGCGUGCGUAUCCAAGAUGGAACUAAAACACACAGGAGACUAAUAUGAGGGAAUACAAGGGGGGUGUUGCCAACUUGCACAUGUUUAAUGCAAGUCUCGUGAUAUUUGGUGUGUUUCUUAAAGGCCUAGCUGCCAGAGUUGUGGUAUUUAUGUGAAACUCUCCGCUUUCAUUGAAAACAAAUAAAAGUAAGUUUUUUGCCUUCACGGCUACAAAGCUUGAAAACGUCACUCCUAAAUGCUUCAAAAGUCAGAAGGCAAACUUAAAAAAAAUCCCCAGAUAUAUUAAUUUUUAAAAUCUCGUGACUUUUAAGCCAAUUGCGUGAUUUAUGGGGAGGGCUGACUCAUUACUCUUUCAUGUUUGGAGUUGGCAGUGCUGCAGGAGUGUACAGGAGAAUGAAAGAUAUAGAGAACGUAAGUCCAGUUUUCUUUUUUCAUAACAUAUUUUUAACAUCCUUUUUUCUAUCUUGUUAACUGCAUAAGACACAGUCUCUCAAGGGAGCUAAAUAUAUACUGGAUGUAAUUCCAUUGGCUUUACACCAGGGAUGAAUUGGGGCAAACAUGUUCCCAACCUUCGACCAUUAUAACAGGCUGCAGAAUUUGCUUGUGCUAUUCUUCUUCCGAGGUCCUAAUGUGCUCGCUUACUAAUUUUAAAGCUGCAAAUAGAGCGCUAAAUAACAUACUUCAAGAUGUAUAAUCUUCUGCCCUUGAUUUAUAACUCUAAAUUCUGCUGCGAAUAAAAAUGAAGUUCCCACUCUUUCUGCUUUGAAAGUCCUUUUUGAUCUCUCAAGUUCCGCCUCCUAGCUUUGCAUCUCUGGAUUCAGAGCAGGGAAAAGAGGAAAAGGAUUUAUGAGUCAUCAUCCAAUGUAAGUCCUCUUUAAACCCACCUUCUGUGAGAAUUUGCUUCCACUCCUGUUUACCAGAAAAAGCUGCCGCCAUGCCUCUGUUUGAAGAUUUGGUAUGUGCUGCCUUGGAAGAGAGUCGGUAGCAUUUUUCCACAGCUACAGGUCAUCCUGUAUGUUAAGCUUUAGCAAAUUUCCACAAAGUAUCUAUGCAAACUCUACUAGCUCCAGAAUUCUGUGCUAGCAGGUACCUCUAAUAUGCAUAUAGUGACCCUAAUUUAGCAUAACUUGUUUAAGGAACAGCGCAUCAAACAUUUAGUCCUGCCGUGAGUACAGGGGACUGGAUUAGAUUACCUCUGCUCUCGAGGUCCCUUCCAGUCCUGUGUUUCUAUGAUUUGUAUGGUCUGAGUUUCUUUCAUCUCUUUAAAACUAUUUUCCAGUUUCUCUGGUCUCUGUUUCACAUUCAAAGCAUAAACUUUACCAUUGAUACAUCCUCCAACAAAAUCAUGCAUGCUUUUGAUGUAUCAUUGCGAGCCUGAUUCUCCAAACAUUUCCCCAGCUGAAGAGUUUGUACCUUCUCCAGCGUCUGAGUUUUCAUCUCAAGGAUAUGGGGGGUGGGAAAUUGCUGG